rnacentral:rRNA from 1 species
UACAGAGGGUGCAAGCGUUGUUCGGAAUCAUUGGGCGUAAAGGGCGUGUAGGUGGUUUGUUAAGUCUGAUGUGAAAGCCCUGGGCUCAACCUGGGAACGGCAUUGGAAACUGGCUUACUAGAGUGCGGUAGAGGGGUGUGGAAUUCCCGGUGUAGCAGUGAAAUGCGUAGAUAUCGGGAGGAACAUCUGUGGCGAAGGCGACACCCUGGACCAGCACUGACACUGAGGCACGAAAGCGUGGGGAGCAAACAGG